CGGACGGGUGAGUAACGCGCGGAAAACCUGCCGUAUACUGGGGGAUAACACUUAGAAAUAGGUGCUAAUACCGCAUAAGCGCACAGCUUCGCAUGAAGCGGUGUGAAAAACUCUGGUGGUAUACGAUGGUUCCGCGUCUGAUUAGCUAGUUGGUGGGGUAAUGGCCUACCAAGGCAACGAUCAGUAGCCGGCCUGAGAGGGUGAACGGCCACAUUGGGACUGAGACACGGCCCAAACUCCUACGGAAGGCAGCAG
rnacentral:rRNA from 1 species